AUGACAGCGAAAAUGACAGCGAAAAUGACAGCGAAAAUGACAGCGAAAAUGACAGCGAAAAUGACAGCGAAAAUGACAGCACAUUGAUUAUAAAAUUCUUGGCAAGCGAGAAUGAUGCCACAGAUUGUUUGUGCACAUUCUUUGUUCCCCUAGCUAAACUUUUUGAAAGAGAUAGUCCGGGGGAAACUUUUUCCAGGCGUCAAGGAUAUCUACCAUCGCGACCGAACGAUGCUCGUCCAGGGCCAUCAGCCCCUCCUCUAGAUGAGAAUAUCAGCUAUGUUUGAGUUUAAAUGGCUUCAAGGGAAAAGCAAGAAAUUACUCGGGCUUUCUGUGAUCCAGAUCUUUGGCAGAGAUUAGCCGAUGAAUUCAACAUACCAAGGGAUUAUCGUAUGAUUAUUCUGAUUAGAUGAACAAUUAUCUCGCGUUCUAUGUUUGGUUCAAAUAGAACAGAUACAUAUAAAAUAAGCCAACUCUUGUAAUAUCAUGACCAGAUGAAUAAUUGAAGUCCUGCUUUUAGAUCGUUAUGCAACAAACAGUAGUCUAGAAAAAAAACUAAAUUUGCCAAGAAACGGUUGGAGAACAUGCCGAUUACCUUUAAAAAUCGAUUCAAAAAUAAUAAUGCGAAAACACUACUCACAAGGCACG